AACGCACCUUGCGCUCUAUGGCAAUCCGUAGAGCAUGCCUGUUUGAGUGCCAUAAAAUCUCCCACCCCAAGCGGUUUUUACAUGAAACGGCUUGGCGGAUGGGGUCUGGAUGGGUGCCUCUGCCUGCGCUACCUAGCACAGGCUCGCCCGAAAUGCAUGAGCGCCUUGAGACACUUCGCAUCCGCCUCUCUGUUUGGGAGGAGGCGGCCAAGCAGUGUUUUUCUCCUGGCAUGGCAUGAUACGUCAUUUGCUAUGUCGCCUAAAGGAGGAAUGUUUGGUUGUGUCUGCGUGUGCUUCGAACUUGCCUCUGUGGCACAUCCCAAUUUCACUUCUGGUCUCAAAUCAGGUAGGAUCACCCGCUGAACUUAA
rnacentral:misc_RNA from 1 species